AGUGGCGGACGGGUGAGUAACACGUAAGAAUUUGCCUUUAGGAGGGGGACAACAACUGGAAACGGUUGCUAAUACCCCAUAUGCUUUCGAGUGAAACGGAUUUUUCCGCCUAAAGAGAAGCUUGCGGCUGAUUAGCUUGUUGGUGAGGUAAUGGCUCACCAAGGCGACGAUCAGUAUCUGGUUUGAGAGGACGAUCAGACACACUGGAACUGAGACACGGUCCAGACUCCUACGGGAGGCAGCAGUGGGGAAUUUUCCGCAAUGGGCGAAAGCCUGACGGAGCAAUACCGCGUGAGGGAUGACGGCCUAUGGGUUGUAAACCUCUUUUUUCAGGGAGGAAUCAAAUGACGUGUACCUGAAGAAUAAGCAUCGGCUAACUCCGUGCCAGCAGCCGCGGUAAGACGGGGGAUGCAAGUGUUAUCCGGAAUCACUGGGCGUAAAGCGUCUGUAGGUGGUCAAAUAAGUCAACUGUUAAAUCUUGAGGCUCAACCUCAAAAUCGCAGUCGAAACUAUUAGACUAGAGUAUAGUAGGGGUAAAGGGAAUUUCCAGUGGAGCGGUGAAAUGCGUAGAGAUUGGAAAGAACGCCGAUGGCGAAGGCACUUUACUGGGCUAUUACUAACACUCAGAGACGAAAGCUAGGGUAGCAAAUGGGAUUAGAUACCCCAGUAGUCCUAGCCGUAAACAAUGGAUACUAGAUGU
rnacentral:rRNA from 1 species